rnacentral:rRNA from 1 species
AUACGUAUGGUGCAAGCGUUAUCCGGAUUUACUGGGUGUAAAGGGAGUGUAGGUGGUCUGACAAGUCAGAGGUGAAAGCCCGGGGCUCAACCCUGGGACUGCCUUUGAAACUGUCAGACUAGAGUGCAGGAGAGGUAAGUGGAAUUCCUAGUGUAGCGGUGAAAUGCGUAGAUAUUAGGAGGAACACCAGUGGCGAAGGCGACUUACUGGACUGUAACUGACGCUGAGUCACGAAAGCGUGGGUAGC